AGAGUUUGAUCCUGGCUCAGGAUGAACGCUGGCGGCGUGCCUAAUACAUGCAAGUCGAGCGAACGGACGAGAAGCUUGCUUCUCUGAUGUUAGCGGCGGACGGGUGAGUAACACGUGGAUAACCUACCUAUAAGACUGGGAUAACUUCGGGAAACCGGAGCUAAUACCGGAUAAUAUUUUGAACCGCAUGGUUCAAAAGUGAAAGACGGUCUUGCUGUCACUUAUAGAUGGAUCCGCGCUGCAUUAGCUAGUUGGUAAGGUAACGGCUUACCAAGGCAACGAUGCAUAGCCGACCUGAGAGGGUGAUCGGCCACACUGGAACUGAGACACGGUCCAGACUCCUACGGGAGGCAGCAGUAGGGAAUCUUCCGCAAUGGGCGAAAGCCUGACGGAGCAACGCCGCGUGAGUGAUGAAGGUCUUCGGAUCGUAAAACUCUGUUAUUAGGGAAGAACAUAUGUGUAAGUAACUGUGCACAUCUUGACGGUACCUAAUCAGAAAGCCACGGCUAACUACGUGCCAGCAGCCGCGGUAAUACGUAGGUGGCAAGCGUUAUCCGGAAUUAUUGGGCGUAAAGCGCGCGUAGGCGGUUUUUUAAGUCUGAUGUGAAAGCCCACGGCUCAACCGUGGAGGGUCAUUGGAAACUGGAAAACUUGAGUGCAGAAGAGGAAAGUGGAAUUCCAUGUGUAGCGGUGAAAUGCGCAGAGAUAUGGAGGAACACCAGUGGCGAAGGCGACUUUCUGGUCUGUAACUGACGCUGAUGUGCGAAAGCGUGGGGAUCAAACAGGAUUAGAUACCCUGGUAGUCCACGCCGUAAACGAUGAGUGCUAAGUGUUAGGGGGUUUCCGCCCCUUAGUGCUGCAGCUAACGCAUUAAGCACUCCGCCUGGGGAGUACGACCGCAAGG
rnacentral:rRNA from 1 species